UUUGCCCCGAUUUGUAAUUGCUCCGGCAAUUGGGCACGCAGCACUUAUUAGGCAUAUCUAGGCAUGGCACUCCACAUUCCGGGGCAAUGAAGACUUGCGGUACACACAAUCACAAGCACAGCACAAAUGUUGAGACUGCAUGCACUGGUCACGUCUAGAAAAAAAAAUGUGCGUUCGGAAGCAUGCGGCAGCAUGGCUGAGCAUGUCGGGACUUGUUUAACCUUGAAGCUAUUCUGGGAGCGGCAGGGUUCCUGGAACUAAUCGAAUUGCUGUCGUCACCGUCGUCGCCUCGUUCUUCUCCGAAUAACCGGGGUUAACUAUUGUAUAUCUUCCGCGCUUCAUUUUCAACACGUGUGCGCCCCUAGUAGCUUCGCAGCGCGCUGCACGGAACUUCUAUGUUGGCCUCUUAUGCGUGACGUAGCUCAAGGGGAGAGGGUCAGCCAGAAGGCCUUCAGUUCUCUAGAGGGUGUUGCUAAUCUCUCUCGCUGGGGUUGUUUGACAAAGAGACGACAUAGGAGAGGGAACGCGAUUGUGUUGAGCCGGCAGCUUGCCUCCUACCCCUCUCUCACCUCUUAACCUUAUACCCUCUCUCACUCCCUCUCUAGUCACAGGGCCGUGCCCCCACAUGGGAGGAAGAAACCAGUGGCUAUUCUGACAUUCGCCGGACCAAGCCAACGCGUAAACCAAGCAGAAUUUCGCCAGCCUCGAGAACGGACAUAUUCCCAAACGCAGUACAUCCAACAUCUAUGGAGCGUGACCUCAGUAGGGACUUGCAACGGCUUCGUUUAGACGCCGCCGGCACCGAUGCGCAGGCAGAUGGAGGAAACAUCGCCCACACGCAGCCGACCCCCCAAGCCCUUGGUCCGGGUGACGGCACUAGUCCAGAGGCUGAGUUGUCCGCUUCCUCGGGCUGCCCACACCGGCCACCGCCUCGUCCCUGCUGUGAUUGCCACAUCCAACGAUUGCUCCGGGUGCACGCUCAACGUUACCGACACACUUCGUUCCCGGAAUGGUGUCUUGACGGUAUCUUGGUGGCGUUAGAACAUAAAAAUGAGGCGUGCAGGCUGCGGAACCAUGCGGUUUCCAUGGGAGCGUCGACGGGGGCUCGCCGCAACGUCUUCGAACCGCAGCCGCCGCAGUACUAGUGCUAACAUGGUUCCAAGAGGACUUCACCCAGAAGAAUAGCCAAGGAGUCAGCCUGAAAUGGAAAUACCACAACGUUGGUGUGCUCAAGCAAGC